AUUCUGCCAGCAGGAGGGUUUAAGGCUCUGCUGCUCAGCUGUAAUUGGGACUGUGAGCAUUCAGUUAUUCCUUAAGUCCCUGGAAAGAAUUGCACUUCACACCAGGCCCCCAGAGUUAGUCCCCAAGUCAGGUGUGAUGGGUGACCCCUUUCCAGCAGGUUUGUUCUCCUCAGUGCAGGCAAAAAUGACUUUUCCUACAAUUUGGUGGUUCGUGGUUACCUUUUAAUGUAGCUCUCCCUUUAGCUUUGCAGUGAUUUUUAACCACUUGGGAGUUUUUCUGGCAAAAUGCAGGCUGAUGUGCCCAAACCCCUGGCAGAACAGCACCUGCAGCAUGGCACGUUGGCUGCCAGCUCCCUGCUGGCUCUGCCUGCUCAGUCCCACCCCUGCACACCCCACUCACGUCCCUGCUGGGCUGGGAGCCCUGGCUGCUGCUGCUGAGCUGUGUCACAUCUGUCACAGCUGCCACAGCUGGGGCUGCCUGAGCAGAGCAGGAUUUCCCUGCUGCAGCCAGGACACUGAAAGCAGUGUUGCACUGAGAAGUCAGGCUGGAAAUCACUCAGGUUUGGGGUUUCUGUUAAUUGGAGAAAGAGGUGGCCUGGGGGCUGCCCUGCACCCCUGGAAGUGGCCAAGGCCAGGUUGGGGGGGGCUUGGAGGAACCUGGGGUGAUGGGGGGUGUCCCUGCUCAUUAUGGGGUUCCAUGAAGGAACCUGCAGUAAAUAAGCUGCUUAAGCAACUGAAAAGUAGCUUUGAUUCUUAAAACAACUGACUUCUGAUUGUACUUUUGUCAGUAUAUUUAAAAUAUGAGGAUAAUUUAUUCCCAGGCUGAAGUCAGAAGUGGGGCUGGGCUCUGAAUCCUGACAGCACUUCACAAUGAAGUUAGCAGCAGCAGCAGCUGUGCUAAUGAGGCAGACUUCAAGGAAAGACUUAAUCUAAAUUUCCAAGUGUUUCAUAGUUUGACCAUAUUUAUUUUCUUUAAGAGCUUUAGGGUUUUCCUGGUUCUGAGGAAAUUGCUUCAAUGGUAGCAGACAGGGAGGGUUUGUUUUACCCCAGUUUAAUGGGAGAAAUCCUCAUCUUGUAAUUAACACCCAGCUGGGGCUCUUCAUGAGAAUUGGGCACGGCAAGCACCUGCCAGAGGGGACUGCCAAGCAGAGCAAAUUGGCCCAGGUGUGUGCUGUGAGCCCAGCACGGGAGCUGCCACGCAGGAGAGCAGGAAAGGAAAGCUGCUGAGGGAGGAUCCUCUCCAAAACUGGUGAAGGGACCUAGAAGAUCCAGCCUGCUCAGCUAAAAUCCCCUUGGGGAGGGGUUGAAGUGACUCUCAGGCUCACCUCCAUGCUAAAGCAUCCACCUUUUCCAGAUCAAUGUGUUUUUAAAGGAUUAAUAAUCUGAAUUAACACCACCACUGUCACAUAAGAGUGUCUGCUCUAAUAUUCACACCUGCACAUAAAAGCACUUACAGACUCACUAAUUCACAAUGUGCAGCUGCUGGUUUUAAUUUGAACCUUAACGAGUGGAAUGAGGGGACAAAAUUAAGGUGCCAGCAGUCCUCAUAGUGACCCCUGAGCAGGAAUUCUGAACUGUCUCAGGAUACUCUUGACUCCCUUGUCCGUGCACUGGGCUUUAGUAAUGCCUCAAAUUCUGAUUAGGGUGUUCAAGUAAGAAGCCCUAGAAUAUUCUAAUCAAAGGUUUUAUUAAAUAAUCCAGAUGUUUGACCAGCAUUCAGUAGGAACUGUAUUGGCAAGUGCAAUGGAGAUGCCCAGGAAGCCCCGACUGAGUGAGCUGGCCCUGGCCCGGCUGCUAAACUUGCUGUUCCCUUUUUGUGCAGACUCUAAUUCCAGUAUUCCAGAGCCACUUGCAAACCCUCCUCCAGAGCUUCCUGCAGAGCUGGCGGGCAGAGAGCUGCACAACCACCUGCUGCUGGACAUUGACAAUGACACGGAGAGCACGGCGCUGUGAGCAGCGCUCCGGCUUCCCUGGCUCCUCUCCGGGGGGAAAACCACAGACCUAACAGGGAAAGGCUUCUUCUGCAGCGUGGCACGGCUGGGCAGAGCUGGCCCUGGGGCCUCGUGGGGACACUGAGCUCCAGGGUGGCCGAGGUUGGAGGAGACCUCUCAGGAAAUCGAGCCCAACCUUUGGCCGCGCUCCGCUUUCGCCCUCAGAAGAAGUUUAAUGAUCUGGGUCUGGACAACGGUUUUCAAACCCUUGGAUGGAAGGAAUGAAUUCCUGCAGGAACUCGCCUAGGAAGCGUGGUCAGUGCUGAUACAGGUGGUGUUAGCAGAAAUUCCAAAAGAAUAAGAAGCAGAAGGUUAGUUAUUUAAAGUGCAUGUCUGUAUUACGGAAAUAAUCCUUGCCACGGCUCGGUUAGAGGUUCUUUGUAGUUCUUAGCCCGUAGCAGGAGCUGCCUCCCAAGGGACAUUCCCUCUCGGAUCUGCUGCAGAUUCCCCCAAGCCAUGAACCAAACCCCUGCCCCAGUGCUGGUGGUGACUGCUGGUUCUCAGUCACCUGUGGAACUGUGGAUGCAUCCAGUGCCUUGAAGGACUGUCGUGCUGUCGGAGGAACUUCUGUCUCUUUAAUCAUUUCAUUGCUACUUAGGAUCAGUACUUACCCUGAUUUCAUAGUUAUUUGUAUUAACCUGCUUUGUUCAUGUGCAACUGGCAACUGUUUCACGAGGAAACCGUGGAAAUGGGGUUUGUGCUUUUGUUGAAAACGGUUGAGUUUUGAAAGAACUUUGAAACAGCUGUUUGGAUUCAGAAGUUGAGUGAACAUUUAUAAAAUUAAAGAUUGUUUUUUGUCAA